rnacentral:sRNA from 1 species
UUCAUACUGGAAGUCUUAGACUUCUCCACAGAACAGGCAUAGUAUGGGCAGCAGCACUGCAGAUUCUCCCAUUCUGCCCUAACCAUAUGCCUGGAAGGGCUGACUCUAGCAGAUAAGAUUGUUCCAUUCAGUCCUUGGCCUCU